GAUGAACGCUGGCGGCGUGCCUAAUACAUGCAAGUCGAGCGAACAGAUAAGGAGCUUGCUCCUUUGACGUUAGCGGCGGACGGGUGAGUAACACGUGGGUAACCUACCUAUAAGACUGGGAUAACUUCGGGAAACCGGAGCUAAUACCGGAUAAUAUUUCGAACCGCAUGGUUCGAUAGUGAAAGAUGGUUUUGCUAUCACUUAUAGAUGGACCCGCGCCGUAUUAGCUAGUUGGUAAGGUAACGGCUUACCAAGGCGACGAUACGUAGCCGACCUGAGAGGGUGAUCGGCCACACUGGAACUGAGACACGGUCCAGACUCCUACGGGAGGCAGCAGUAGGGAAUCUGCCGCAAUGGGCGAAAGCCUGACGGAGCAACGCCGCGUGAGUGAUGAAGGUCUUCGGAUCGUAAAACUCUGUUAUUAGGGAAGAACAUACGUGUAAGUAACUGUGCACGUCUUGACGGUACCUAAUAAGAAAGCCACGGCUAACUACGUG
rnacentral:rRNA from 1 species